rnacentral:rRNA from 1 species
UGGGGAAUCUUCCGCAAUGGACGAAAGUCUGACGGAGCAACGCCGCGUGAGUGAAGAAGGUUUUCGGAUCGUAAAACUCUGUCUUUUGGGGCGAACGUGAGUAUGGUGAACAAUCAUAGUCAGUGACGGUACCAAAGGAGGAAGCCACGGCUAACUACGUGCCAGCAGCCGCGGUAAUACGUAGGUGGCAAGCGUUGUCCGGAAUUAUUGGGCGUAAAGAGCGCGUAGGCGGGAUAGUCAGUCUGUUGUAAAAGUGCGGGGCUCAACCCCGUGAUGGCAAUGGAAACAGCUAUUCUUGAGUGCAGGAGAGGAAAGUGGAAUUCCCAGUGUAGCGGUGAAAUGCGUAGAUAUUGGGAGGAACACCAGUGGCGAAGGCGACUUUCUGGACUGUGUCUGGCGCUGAGGCGCGAAAGCCAGGGGAGCGAACGGGAUUAGAUACCCCGGUAGUCCUGGCCGUAAACGAUGGGUACUAGGUGUGGGGGGUAUCGACCCCUUCCGUGCCGGAGUUAACGCAAUAAGUACCCCGCCUGGGGAGUACGGUCGCAAGACU